rnacentral:rRNA from 1 species
UGAGGAGGAAGCCCCGGCUAACUACGUGCCAGCAGCCGCGGUAAUACGUAGGGGGCUAGCGUUAUCCGGAUUUACUGGGCGUAAAGGGUGCGUAGGCGGUCUUUCAAGUCAGGAGUGAAAGGCUACGGCUCAACCGUAGUAAGCGCUUGAAACUGGGAGACUUGAGUGCAGGAGAGGAGAGUGGAAUUCCUAGUGUAGCGGUGAAAUGCGUAGAUAUUAGGAGGAACACCAGUUGCGAAGGCGGCUCUCUGGACUGUAACUGACGCUGAGGCACGAAAGCGUGGGGAGCAAACAGGAUUAGAUACCCUGGUAGUCCACGCUGUAAACGAUGAGUACUAGGUGUCGGGGGUUACCCCCUUCGGUGCCGCAGCUAAC